AGCCCUUUGCCGGAAAGAUCUGACUGAUCUCUGGGCGAAUCCUUUUGUCCCUAAGUCCCACCCAGCAUUGACCGCGCAGCUUCACUUCCGGGAUGGCUGCGCCCCACGUGGGGCGGAUCUAUUACACGUGUGGGGGGGACGAUGGGGGAAGACAGCAGACCUGCCUUCUCCCGCUCCCCCAUUCUCCCUCCCUUGGAGGCAGAAGGGGGUGGAUCAAUGCUUUCAUUUCUACCAAUCAGCUCCAAGGAGAGGAAAACUUCUCUCCUCCGUCUUCCCGACGGAAUUAGAGAGUCCUUUACCAUUUGGGGCGGGAGACCAACCUGAAAUACAGUCAGGUCUUCUGAUAGGCGGGGCGAUUUGGAAACCCUAGCCAAUAAAGCACAAGAGGUGGGGCUAAUUCUUCUACCCAAGAAGAAGGGCUAAUCCCGCCCUAUGACUACAUAGCGAGGAAGGGGGCGGGGGGAGGACUGUGAGUGUGUGUACUGCGUAUUCACUCAGUCAGCCUCAUGCAGUAGGCACUACGGGCAGGUUACGCUGCUUCCAUAGCUGAGGUUGCAAACAGCAGUAUCCCUCCAGCACGAAAGGGGGAAAGCAACUCAGGCUGGCAGGAUUCUGGAGUGGAUUCCCCCGGUGGGGUCUCCUCUAGGCUGGAGAGAGGAGAGGCAGAAUCCCUUCCGCCCUCCCCGAAUCCACGCCUUGUAAAUUGUAACGUGAACCCUCCUUCGCUUUCCAGCCCGCUGCUCCCGCUCCCUCCCAAAACCCAGCCUUGCUCGCGGUGCGCGGCCUCACUUUGCUAGCGUUCAAACGAGCGCAAGGAAGCCCCUUUCGUCCCCCGGGCAGCGAGUCCAGCAGGGAGAGGGCCAGCCCGUCACGGUAGCUAACUCCAUGCAGCUCAGUCCAACACCCUAAACCCUAGUCUCUGGCUCCAGCAAAUGAUGGACGCCCCCUCUGCAGUGUUUCCUUUCCCCGGCUCAGUACCAUGCCAACUCAACCCCCCGGUCCCCGACCUUCACAGUUCCUUUGCGUCUUUAAACUAUUUUGAGCCGCUCUGCAAGAAAGCUGCAAGGACCACCGGCUUGCGGGAGAAAAGGGACCAGCGGGGGUAGCCCAACCCCGGGGCUGUCCAUCUUUCCCUCCCACCGGCAUAGGAGGCGGGGUGGAGACUAGAGAUGCAACUCCAUGUUUGCAAAGGGAAUCAGGUUCAAUCAGUUGGGAGAUGAGAGCUCAGUGGAUCGAGAGCAGGAGGAAGGCGGCUGCUCCGGUUUGGGUCGCAAAGUGGGCUCAGUGCACGGCAGGUAGCAAGCGUUCGGUAACAGAACGUUCGCGCGUCAACAGGGGUUCGGCGCUGGAAUGUUCACCGGUGCCUGGCUACUUUGCGUUCGGAAAUGGAACGCGACGGCGGCUGCUAGAGGCCCCGCUCCAUUCAACGGGGCUCCGGCGAGGAUUGUUUUGGUGUGAAUUUAAAAAUAACAAUCACACAGCUGCCGGUUUAGGGAGAGAGAGGAAACUAGAGCUGCAGUCCGCGCCCCCCUGCUGGCAGCUGCCUCUUGGCAGAUCCAUUCACACGCCUCCCCCCAACAAGUUUCACGUAAAGAAGCACAAAUCUACGGGUUCCGAUUCCGCCCUCUCUGCUAGUAAGACAUCCGGCCUUGGGAUUUGUAAACUAGAUCUACGCUCCGGCAACGCCUGCAAAGCCCUGCACCGAGACGAGCUGCAAAAGCCACCCCCGCACCCCAAAAUCUACUCAAUAAACUCCUAAACCUCCUCUCGGGACCUUGACCCGCAGCGCAGCUUUGUUUUUGCCAAGCAAAAUAAGGGGCGGGGGAAGUGAAGUGUCCCUGCUCCUCCUCCUCUCCCCCAAACUGCAUGGAUCCCAGCGCGAUGUUAAACAAACACCACCAGCACGCAUAUCACCCGGCCAAAUGCCUGGUCUUCCUCAGAUCUCCGUGCAGGGACGGGGAGGGAGAGCGAGGGUAAAGCAAAACCCAGGGAAAAACUGCUUUUAAUUUCUCCCCUCUUCCUCAACGGAUCCGACUGCUCAGUCCCUGAUUAACAGCAGCUCCGCCUACCACCCCCUUUCUCUCCUGGUUCUGGCCCGAUUUGAGACGGGUGACCUUAAACCCCCCCCUCCCCCAAACGCCCAAAAUAUUGGGGACUAAAUUGAAAGCAGCUGUUACAUACCCUCAAAGCCCAGGCGAGGAGUCCUGAAUGGAUGGGAACGCCCCCCAAACGGGAUUGGCCUCUAGCUGAAACUCGUCACUUCAAUCCCACCCAUCAGAGGGGGGAAGGCUGGAUCCAAACCUGCAACCCAGGACACGCCCUCCCCUCUUCCCCAAAACACGCAGGGCAGGGCUUUGUGCAAAAGUGGAGUUAGGCUGCUGAUCAGCCAUUUAUGUACAUCAAACUCACGCCUGCACGUCGGGGACUGAAGUGAGCUCUCACAGGCUAGGGCUUGCGUUAGCUUCGGUUUCCAUCUGUCUAGCUGCACUUGAAGCACUUUCUGAACCUACCUGUUACAGUGUUAGGAGCACAAAAGCAAAGUUGUGCUGAACGCCACAGAGCCAGUCCUAGGGCCAUGGGAGCGAUGCGGUUGUGCUAAGAUGCCCCCCUUGGCAGCCCAACUCCAGGGCAGGGAACACAGCAGCAGCACCGUGGAGCAGAGUGGAAUCAGCGGAGCCGUGUGAUGCAUAUUUCCAGCAGCCUUAGAGUGGGGUCACCGUCUGACUCCGGGAGAAAGGGCACUGUGCUGCCAUGCCAUCGCUUGUGUCUAUACAUUCAACAGUGCCAGUCCCGCUGCUGACAGGGAGAGAAAUGUGUGUCUGCCACAAGGGAGGCAAAAGGCUGCAUUUCACGGCGGAAGGAUUAUAGCCAUGAGAGGUCUUUCUUAGCGCAAGGAAAGCCCAAUCCUACAGCAGUUGUAGUCAGCAGGUCUGCAAUGUGCAAACAGCUGCAUGGCAACUGCUGCGUUACCUCUGGCGUCACAACAAUCAGCUGUUCAGCGCUGUCUCGCAAUCAGAGGGCUAGAUCCUGCCUUGACUGCCAGGGCCAGUUACUGGGGGCAAAGCACAACAGGAGCAUUUUCUCCCCAUCACCAGCAAGGCAGAAUUCCUACAAGCUGAUAGGCAAGUUACUGACAAGAACUGCUGGAAAGGGAGCUUGGCCAAGAGCCCAUCUGCUAAGCACACAAACUGGUGUCACAUGCUAGCCGGAAGUGUACACUGCUCUUUUUAAAAAGACGACAAAGCGCAGGAGUGCGUGACCUGCCCUGGCACAACGGGUCCUGUAACCACUGCAUAGCCUGCCUUGCCCUGUGGCCUCCUGCCCUCACCAAUAAGGACAGCCGGCAAGGAGAAAACCCCAACAUUUCUCUCCCAUUCUGCACAGACACUUAUGAAAAUCAGCAGGCAGGAGGGAUCAAUCACUACAGGCGCUCUCGUGAAGACGUUUCCUUGCUCCCAUGCAUUGUAUGGAGAGAAAGAACCAUCUAGCUCACCGACAACUCUUCAGAAGCAGGGGCUAGAGGGAGCCAUGGUCAGCCAAGUGGGAGCAAAGAGAACAAGGGGGAAUAGAUCGGCUUUGAUGGGAUGCCCAUCAAACCAUGAUGUGCGGCAGGAGGCUCUCAGGAGGAACUUGGUCAGUUUGGAGAUGUGCACCACUGGCAGAGACUACAAAAGCAGCCGCAGCAACUACAGGAAGGAGUGGCUAUAAAUCCAAAGAGCAUCUUAAAAGAAGGGCUGUGUCUAUGCUGAAUUGUCUUCAGAUCUCCCACCGGGGCCAGCUCUGCCAGCUGCCCGCACCCCAGCCUUUCUCCGAGGAGCCUAGUCAACGUAGUGGUGAAACACCAGGAGCUGCUUUGUGCUACGGCUCCCGCUGUUGCUGUGAGGCGUGGGGCUGCACCAGAGCUAGAGCAAAAGGAGGUGGUAAGCAGGGCCGGUUCCAGGGUUUUUGCUGCCCCAAGCGGCGGGCGGGGAGCCACGAUCGCGAUCAGCGGCACGUCCUUCCCUCCGAGACGGACCGAGGGACUUGCCGCCGAAGAGCCAGCCCUGGUGGUAAGAAAACACAGGAAUUGCCAGACUGGCUCAGACCCGAGGGCCAUCUCGUCCAAUGCCCUGGGUCUGAUGGUGGCCAGCACCAGAUGAUUAGGAGGAAGAAGCAGGAACCCAGCAGUAGCAUUUGUGGGAUAAUCUGCCCCCCGGCUAUCUCAUCCUGAUCUCUAGCAGAGAGAUCGGCUUAAACCAUGAAGCAGGAGGCUUAGUUUCCCUUAAAUUUUUUUGUUUAUAAUUAAUAAUGACAACGCUGGAUAUUCUUGAUAUCCAUAUCAGGAGCGCCAGAAUGGGUGGGGGGAGGUCCAGAGGGCCAUGGCCCCAUCACUUUUUACUAGCCUAAAGGGCAAGCAACAGGGGGAGGGGCAGAGAGGAGCAAGCAGGGGCGAGGCCUCAGUGGAAGGGGUGGGACCACAGGGGAAGAAGCGGGGAAGGGCCAUGGUUCGGGCACCGGUGGCCCCCCCACACUUCUAGGGAGCUUCCGGAGUUCCUGAUCCAUAUAAAAUAUCCAAGCACUUAAGGAAAAGUCUACUGCCCUUCUUUGUAAAGUGCUUUCAGAUGCUGAUAAAAAGCGCUAAAGAGCUAGGUAUUAGUACUAACAUGUCAUGUUCUUGGCCUCAGUGACAGCCUGUGACAAUGAGUUCCACCAUCUAACCAGACGUUGUGUGUAAAAGUACUUCCUUCAGUUGUUUUGGAAUCUGUCACCGCUUAAUUCCAUUGACUGUUCCCUUGUUCCCAUGUUGUGAGGCUGGGAAAAAGCACAGCACACAUGCAGCUGUAGAAGGGUUUGUGAUUCAGCCAUUCAAAAUCUCUUCAGAACUAACCUGGGCAUUUUAGACCUCAGCUCAGGAAAGCAUUUUCAAGCACAAUUUAACAGAUACAAGGACUAAAAGUCCUGCAAAAUCUGUAAGAUCGGGCCCAGCAUCGUUACACACGGACACAUUUUUCCCCUCAGUUGACGGAUUAGAAUCCUUUUGUUUUCUUUCCAGCUAAAGUUGGGAGUCUUUAAAAAUACAUCCGUUCCCCACCAUUGGCUCAAAGUGACCUGGCCUCCUCUGACUUUUAACUACAUUUUCACUUUCUUUUGGUCAGAAGAACUAGCUGGAGUGCAUGUGCGGCUACCAUGCCUCUAUGUGCAGUAUGUGCUGUGGUCAGUUUCACGCAGGUUUUACAUCCUUCUCGCAAGGACUAAUGCUCACUGCAUUUAAAGAAACCCUGUAAUGUUUCAUUUACAAAAAAAAAGGGGGCAGGGGGAAUGUCAGCACUCAGGCUGAACUCUGUCCUUAGCCGCCCCCCCACUGCAAGCUUGGAGAUUCUAGCAACAGGUUGGUUCAUCAGCACGCCUGACUUUUCUGUCGCUUUAGGUGAGACAAGCAGCCCUUCCUGAACAGAGCUUUCUAAAGAUUUAGAUCUCCAUUGAUUUACACCCUAGCCCCUGCCAGGCAGGAUAGAAACAGGCCACAUUUCAAAGUGGUGACACAACCCCCAAGGACCGGGGGUCACAGCUGUCAAAUGACUUCUUUAAAGUGCAAGAGAGCCCCAGGACAGGUUUUACAGUAUUUUAGCCCAUAGAGUGCUGCAGGCAAAGGACUUAAUGACGCAGGUUUGAUCAGUCCUCACCAGCUGUCAAAAUCCCAUGGUUACUAACUCUCUUGAGAUCAGAGAGAUUUAAAAGCAUCCCAUUUCCCUGGUCCUCUAAAACAUGAUGCGGGAGGGUGUGGGAAUAGGGUUCUUCCUGUUAAAAUGCUGUCACAUUCUCCCAGUAUUCCCCCCACAAAAGAAACAAACAUUCAAUGAAUGCUAAGUCUGCGCAGAUAACCACUCCAACAAGGGCAGAGUUAGGGUUGCACUUCCUGAUUUUUCAUCUAACUCGGUCCUUGUAUAGCCCCUCUUCACCAAACUAUCUGAAUAACUAAGAAUCAUCAUUAAUCAAUGGAUUUUAUUCUUACAAUGCUACUGAAUUACUAUUAACCCCAUUUUACAGAUGGGAAACUGAGGCAUAGCGAGAUUAAGGGACCUGCCGGUGGUCACACAAGAUGUCUGUCUGAUCUAGGGAAGGAUUCCAGGUCUCCCAAAUACCAGCUCAAUGUCCAAUCCAUAAAACCAUUCCUUCUAUGUCUAUGCCUUACAUAGCCUGUGUUGUACAGGAGGGCAGAUUAAAUGAUGGAAUGGUCCCCUUUUGCUUUAAAAAUCUAUGAUUCUCCAAUUUUUCAAAUAAUGCAGUGUAAUCAUACAUUUUGCCUCACAUCCUUACAUUGGUGUAACCUAGCUUGUACUUUUUUCCUCCAAUGUUUAAUCCGAACACUAAUUUUAUUGUCAUAAUAAUUCAGUAUCGCUUUAUUGUCAGACUUUUCAUACAGUACAGUUCUAUGCAAGUUCUCACCUUUCUAACGUACAUAGGAAGAAUUUAAUCAACAGCUACACAAUGUUGUUUUCAACCAAUAGUACCGACUUCCUUGGGUGCAAUUCAGGGGAUGAAACAAUUGACUAGGAAAGCUCAUUUGGUGGCCUAUAUGUGCUAGCUAAUUGUCACAAUUACUGUGUACAGAUUACAGUGUGUGUAUGCACUUUUUACUGUGUAUUUUUUGUACAGUGGGCCGUGUGGCCUAGUGGAUAGUGCACUGGACGGGAACUCAGAAGACCUGGAUUCUAUUCCCAGCUCUGCUGCUAGCCUGUGGGGUGACCUUGGGCAAAUCACUUUCCUGGCUCUGUGCCUCCGUUUGCCCAUCUGUAACAUGAGGUUAAUGAUGCUAAACCUCCUUUGUGAGGCGCUUUGAGACCAACAGACGAAAAGCACUAGAGAAGAGCUUGGUAUUAACAAGAUGUUAACAUGAACAGUAUUGUAGAAAACAUUAUAUAUGAUCGUGUAAUUAAGGCUGGGGCAGAGCUAAGGCUGUGGGUGCCAGCUGUGUGCUGACGUUCCCUGCCUUUGGAAUGCCUAUCUGUUGCCUCCUCACUGUUCUCCAAACAAGCUUUUUUUAAAUAGAAUUUCUUAGGGUUUAUACAGAAAAAAGCAGUACUUGAGCCUCCAGCCCUUGGAUGUUCUGCAGACUUUCCAAAACUGCAAUUAGUAAAUGUCAAUCCCCUCACUGAGAAAUAUGUGGAGAGACCCCACCUGAAUGCCCCUGCCCCAGGCAUCCUAGGAGGAGGCAGGGUUUUCACCUGUGCACCACAGGAACUCUGCACCCAGCUACUGAGUUCCCAAGGUGAGCCAGAGCAAGCAUCCCUGCCACACACCUUGAAAAUUCAUCAGAGCUCUGUCCUCACCUGGACACCUUGGGAGUCCACAGGUGAUGAAGGAACUUUGAGUUUUUAUCAUUGACACAGCUGAUGAGAUGCAUCAAAGCAGGGCUCCCUCCUGCACACCUGAGACAGGCUGCAGGGCUCUACUUUGCAAGAUCUACAGACGCUGUGGCAAGGAGCUUGCAUUUGCCUCGGCCCCCAUGCACUUUACGAGAGCUCUUUUCUCAGCUCGAGUUCUCCCCGCCAAUUUCAGCGACAGAAGACUAGCCAAGACCUGACGCAGCUGUGCACAGAGCAGCCUGCUUCAGGUCUGCACUUCAGGCACAAUCCAACGCUCACUGUAGUCAAGUGCAAGAUUCCUGCUGCCUCAAUCAGCCCCUUGACAUCAACGGAAUCUACUUGUGUGGUUAAAGUCAAGCAUGUGCAAAAGUGUUUGCAGGACUGGGGCCCUAAUGAACGUAGUGAAAACAACGUACAGCAUUUGCUCAGAAUGUGAGUUUCAAAUGCUCAUAACACAGUUAAAAUCAAACCCCGUCACCUUUGGAAGAAAGCUGCACACUACUCCUCACUUAAGGCUAGUUCCAGACCAAAUUUCAACAUUCAAACCUGUCAUUUUGACGGCAAGGCUGUGUUAAACAAACAAAAAGUUGCAAGAUUUUUUUUUUAGAAUGGGAAAUGUGCAUCCCCCUCCUUGUACUCAAACCCAGCGAAAUGGGUAUUGCUCAGUUUAGAGACCACGCCUAGAAAAUCUCAGCCCUAAAAAAUUAUGAGCAACAGAAAACGGGGCAUUUGAACGGAAACUCUUCUGCAACCUUCACUCUGAUAAAUCAAGAGCAAAACCUCACUAGAAUGUAACACAAGAAUAGGUGAACUCAAAGGAGUCAGGGUUCUGAUAACAUACGGCUACUAGGCCCUUGUUUACUCCAUUUGUAAAUCAGUGGAGAGAUCCAGAUGCCCAAGGAUGGUAGAACUGGCUUCCAAGUUCCAUGAUAUCAGAGUGUGUAGAUAUGUAUAUUUAUCAAGCUUUGCAACUCACCGUUAACUGUACAUGGUGCCUGGACCAAAUCCUGCUCUCUGUCACGCUGGUGUAAAUCUCAGGUAACAAGUGAAGUCAAGCGUGUUACCCCAGAUUCACACAGGUGUAAUGGAGAGCAGAAUUUGGUCCUGCCUCCGGAUAAAUGCACAUGGCAUCAGGAAAGGAGGCAUCCAACUGGCUGGAGGAGGUUCUGGCUGCUCUUGUAACUGUCCAGCUCUGGGUUUCUCUGAGAAUGUAUCUCCUGGGGGUGGUACACCCACAGAGCAGAAAAGUUUUCUUACUGCUUAUUUCCAAGGAUCCCAAAGGCUAAAGCUGUUUUUGCAAACCAGGAUUUAUCUUACUCAGUGGGCAACCAGCAGCUGCAAUCCUUCAGCUGCCUUUCCAGUCUCACCUGUGAAGGGAAGAAGGAGGGACCAGCAAACAAAGGGAUUUAAAGUCUCCUAUUUUGGACCGAUCCAGUGUCCAUUUCAUUUCAACAGAAUCAUGAGCUGACCAACUGCAGAUGGAGCUACCGGUGCUCUCUCCCUUUCCAUAGCAAAGGGGCAUUGGAAUGGCAAAAAUAAGAUAAGGGGCGAACAUCCUGGCUCCAUAGACUUCAGUGGUAAAACACCCAUUGACUACAAUGGGACUAGAAUGUCCCCUAAGCUGUUUUGGCUUUUUUAAUUAAUAAAAAGAACAGGAGUACUUGUGGCACCUU